AUUUUAAAAAAGCAUGUAUUUGAAUUUGAACAUGGUCCCCUCCUCUUGCUGGCAGGUUCAGCUGUUACUAUCAUGUUUCCAUAGAAGGUUAGUUUAAAGUUUUACCGGCCUCUUUCCUUUUCUUAGCAUCAAUGUUUGUUUUUCUUCCUAACUGCUAAACCUUCACUACCUCAUUGUGGAAGUUGCAGAGAGUUCAUGGUUUUGCCAAGCACUCUUGAAUACCUGAGGCUCUCAAUGAAAAUAGCAUCUGAAUUCUCAUUAAACAAGAUAAUGAUUUGAAGAAUUGAACUGUGUCUGGCAAGCUUCAGAUCCAAAUAAUAUUGAUUUUAUUCAUAAGUGGUUAGUUAGUUAACCUUGUAAUGAAGAGUGACACAAUAAUUGUUUUAAUAAGAAGUGGAUAUUGCAAAGUGCAGUAGCUCAAUAAUCGAUUUUGAUCCACUUAGAGAUAUAAGAGAUUCUGAGUUUCAUGA